GGAGAGGUGUCCGAGUGGUUUAAGGAGCUGGUCUCGAAAACCNGUAUCUGAAUUUUCAGAUCGUGGGUUCGAAUCCCACCCUCUCCG
rnacentral:tRNA from 1 species